rnacentral:lncRNA from 1 species
UGAGAUAUGUGGCUAUAUGAGAUAUAACACCUAGUCCACUAAGUUCCACUAAUUGUUAGUGGAACAUUAGGUGUUGAGAUUUGACAAAUUAAUUACAUGCAUUUUUGCAUGUAAUUAGGUUAUAAAUAAGGGAGUUUUCAAAUGGUUGAAGACUUUUGCCUUUUUUAUUAUCCUCCAACAUCUCAACAAAAGAAAAUUUUCUACCUUCCAAUCUCAUUUUAUCUUCAUUUCUUUCUACACCAAAUUGGGUCCCACAACCCGGUUCUUUGUCCAGAGGAUAGUAGUUGAGCACUAGUGGUCGUCUCGAUUUGAAUUACUAAGGAGGUAUCAAAGGUUUUGAAAGCUUCAAAGGUAAUAUUUCAUAAAACUCUAAUUUGAUUAGUUUAGGGUUACUUGUUAAUUGUGGCAAUUAGGGUAGAAAUUCGAUUCUUUUUUCGUUGUGCAUGUCUUAGUUCUAUCACUAAUAUAUGAUAAUUCUGAACCAAGAAGUUCUUCAUUAUCAUCUCGAGGUCAAAAUAUAUCUUUCUUCACAUCUAGUGAAUGAACUUGCAUUGGAAUGUUCCAUGGUUGUGAUUUAUCCAUAUAAAAUAUUUUCAAAGUUUUUUCUGUUGUUGAUGGAUGAAAAAAGAUGUCAUUUGCUAAAUGUUCAAUUUGUAAGUCAAGACAAAAUUUUGCUUUUAUAAGAUCUUUCAUUUUAAAUUCUUUCUGAAGAUAUUUUUUCAGGAGUUUCAAUUAUAUUUAAAUCAUCAACAUAUGCAGUUAUAAUAACAAACUCUGACUAUGAUUUCUUUAUAAAAACGUAUGGACAUAUUGGAUUAUUUUGAUAUUAUUCUUUCAACAAAUAUCCACUCAGGCGAUUUACCACAUUCGUUCUAACUAUUUUGAUCAAUAUAGUGAUCUUUGUAACUUUAUUAAAUAUAGUUUCUGAGAACUUAAUUUAUUUGUUUCAGAUAUUCUAACUUUUUUUUUUUUUUUUUUGGGACUUUCUUAUAAAUAUUAAUCAAAAGAUCCAUAUAAACAUGUUGUGACUACAUCCAUAAGAUGCAUGUCCAUAUUUUCACACAGUCAGAUUCAAUUAAAAAUCAUAAUGUGAUUCCAUCCAUCACUAGGGAAUAUAUCUUCUCAUAAUCAAUACAAAGACUUUAUAUAUAUCUUGUGAUCUCAUUAUCUUUUUUAAAAAAAAAAAAAAAUACCCAUUUACAUCUCAUACAUUGACUCCUGCAGGUGUUUGGACUACUAGUCAAAAAACUUGACGUUAUGAAAGUGAGUUUAAUUAUGCCUCAAUUGCUUCUUUCCACAAAGACAAAUAUUUUCUUUAUUGACAUUCUUCAACAAAUUUUGAUUCAGGAUCCUGAUUUUUAGAUAUAUAUAAGAGCAACAUUAUAUGCAAAAAUAUUGUCGACAACUAUAUUCGUUUGGCUUCAUCUUUUUUUCUAUCAUGACAUAGCACUACAAGAAAAUGGAUAUCUUCCGACGCAAAAAAGCGUCAAGAGAAAUUGCAAAAACGUCGAGAGAGGAUAUCCUAACACAUGAGAUAUAGCGUUGGGAUAUACUUUGACAUUUCUCGAUGCACACAAUUCUACGUCGGGAAAUGUCAAGGGAUACCUCGAUGCUAUAUCUCGUGCGUCGGGAUAUCCUCUAUUUUUUUUUAAAAAAAUAUUUUCCCAUCGUCAUUAUCUUCCUACUUGCAUAACCAUCCAUUUGAUCAUCUUCUUCAACUUCCUACUCUUUUGCAGUUGUUGUGUGCAAACAAACAUAUGCAAAAAUUCAAACCACGAAGAUACACUAAGCAGUAAGUAAACAACAAGAAAAAUAAAAUCAUACUUUACCUUCUAAACUCACCAUGGUUGCCGAGAACAUUAAGAGUGAUUUCAACAUAUUCCAAACUGUUGAAUAUAACAAAAACAUAAAUCAAUAAGAAAUGUUCUAAUACUUAGGAUAAAAGAAAGUCAAUGAUAGAAAAGGAAAUUAAAAAAUUCAAAGGGGUUUAUGUUUAGGAUUUUGAACUUUGAACUACUUCCAACCAAUAAGUUGUGAAAGAGACGAAGACAGAGGGAGUUGUGACAGGGAACAAAGCAGACGACAAUGGGCGGACAACUCUCUCUCUCUCUCUCUCUCUCUCUCUCU